UGGGGAAUAUUGCACAAUGGGCGCAAGCCUGAUGCAGCGACGCCGCGUGGGGGAUGAAGGCCUUCGGGUUGUAAACCCCUUUCAGCAGGGAAGAAGCGAAAGUGACGGUACCUGCAGAAGAAGCGCCGGCUAACUACGUGCCAGCAGCCGCGGUAAUACGUAGGGGACGAGCGUUGUCCGGAAUUACUGGGCGUAAAGGGCGCGCAGGCUGUGCUGAAAGUCAGCUGUGAAAUGUCUGGGCUUAACCCGGGCAUGCGGUUGAGACUGCAGUGCUGGAGUGCUGUAGAGGCAAGUGGAAUUCCCAGUGUAGCGGUGAAAUGCGUAGAUAUUGGGAAGAACACCGGUGGCGAAGGCGACUUGCUGGGCAGCAACUGACGCUGAGGCGCGAAAGCCAGGGGAGCAAACGGG
rnacentral:rRNA from 1 species